ensembl:lncRNA
GAGAAAUCUGCUGUCACUCCAGCAAACUCUGAGAAACUCUGGGUCCUCCUACGAGCUCUUACUGGGUCCCUGAAGUUGGUUCAUACUUCUAAACAGACAUAUCCAGCUAUGUUGCAAGAAGUGAAUGGUUCUUCACCCUGAACAGUCUGCAGAUAAGGACUGUUUGCUACCAGAGAACCUGUCUUUCCAAGUAAUGAAGUGAAGCCUACUGGAUUGGUGAUAAGGGCUGGCUUUUCCUAGACAGGAUUCAUCCCAGGAGAGCGUGGUGCAAAGUAGUCAACAGCUCUAACACUGCUGCAGCAGAAUAACCCUUCAUCUGGGGUGCUUCCUGGCCUGAGUGCAAUAAAAAUCUGGAGGAGAUCAAACUCUGGCUCAUUUGGCACAGGAAAACCAAGCAACCAUGCAGGACUGGAAACUUCUAGCUGGUUUUCCUUUGAUUGGGAAGUACUUCUGCAAGUCUUUAUGGAAAAGUUGCCUGGGUGUUUGUCCUGCUCCCUCCCAGAAAAUGAGUGCACAUGUUGGAUGUCUCAUGAAGAAAUGUGGAUGAGACUUCCCUGCAAGGAAGAGGCUGUAAGUGCAAAAAAAAUUUCAAAAAUACUUAUGAAUUUCCUUUAAAAAUAGUUUCCUGUAACCUUUAGAAAA